UACGGAGGGGGCGAGCGUUUUUUGGAAUUAUUGGGCGUAAAGGGCGCGUAGGCGGCUUGACAAGUCAAAGGUGAAAUCCCUCGGCUCAACUGAGGAACUGCCUUUGAAACUGUCUGGCUUGAGGCCGGGAGGGGGUAGCGGAAUUCCCAGUGUAGCGGUGAAAUGCGUAGAUAUUGGGAGGAACACCAGUGGCGAAGGCGGCUACCUGGACCGGUACUGACGCUGAUGCGCGAAAGCGUGGGUAGCAAACAGG
rnacentral:rRNA from 1 species